rnacentral:misc_RNA from 1 species
GAUGAAGAACGUAAUGAAAUGCGAUACGUAAUGUGAAUUGCAGAAUUCAGUGAAUCAUCGAAUCUUUGAACGCACAUUGCGCCUGCCAGCACUCUGGCAGGCAUGCCUGUUCGAGCGUCAUUUCAACCAUCAAGCCCUAGGCUUGCGUUGGAGCCCUGCGGCUGCCGCAGGCCCCUAAAAGCAGUGGCGGGCUCGCUAUCACACCGAGUGCAGUAGAUUACUCUUCGCUCAGGGCGUGUGGCGGGUUCCAGCCGUGAAACCCCCUACUUCUCAAGGUUGACCUCGGAUCAGGUAGGAAUACCCGCUGAACUUAAGCAUAUCAAUAAGCGGAGGA